CUAAUACAUGCAAGUCGAGCGAAUGGAUUGAGAGCUUGCUCUCAAGAAGUUAGCGGCGGACGGGUGAGUAACACGUGGGUAACCUGCCCAUAAGACUGGGAUAACUCCGGGAAACCGGGGCUAAUACCGGAUAACAUUUUGAACUGCAUGGUUCGAAAUUGAAAGGCGGCUUCGGCUGUCACUUAUGGAUGGACCCGCGUCGCAUUAGCUAGUUGGUGAGGUAACGGCUCACCAAGGCAACGAUGCGUAGCCGACCUGAGAGGGUGAUCGGCCACACUGGGACUGAGACACGGCCCAGACUCCUACGGGAGGCAGCAGUAGGGAAUCUUCCGCAAUGGACGAAAGUCUGACGGAGCAACGCCGCGUGAGUGAUGAAGGCUUUCGGGUCGUAAAACUCUGUUGUUAGGGAAGAACAAGUGCUAGUUGAAUAAGCUGGCACCUUGACGGUACCUAACCAGAAAGCCACGGCUAACUACGUGCCAGCAGCCGCGGUAAUACGUAGGUGGCAAGCGUUAUCCGGAAUUAUUGGGCGUAAAGCGCGCGCAGGUGGUUUCUUAAGUCUGAUGUGAAAGCCCACGGCUCAACCGUGGAGGGUCAUUGGAAACUGGGAGACUUGAGUGCAGAAGAGGAAAGUGGAAUUCCAUGUGUAGCGGUGAAAUGCGUAGAGAUAUGGAGGAACACCAGUGGCGAAGGCGACUUUCUGGUCUGUAACUGACACUGAGGCGCGAAAGCGUGGGGAGCAAACAGGAUUAGAUA
rnacentral:rRNA from 2 species